rnacentral:rRNA from 1 species
UACAGAGGUCUCAAGCGUUUGUUCGGAUUCAUUGGGCGUAAAGGGUGCGUAGGCGGCGCGGUAAGUCGGGUGUGAAAUCUCGGAGCUUAAACUCCGAAACUGCAUUCGAUACUGCGGUGCUUGAGGACUGGAGAGGAGACUGGAAUUUACGGUGAGCAGUGAAAUGCGUAGAUAUCGUAAGGAAGACCAGUGGCGAAGGCGGGUCUCUGGA